AGCAAGUUAGCAAAAUAGUGCAUUGAGCUUAGAAUUCAAAUAAAGAAUUAAAUAUUCUACUUGUUA
rnacentral:tRNA from 1 species